rnacentral:lncRNA from 1 species
UGUCGGAAGAGACCAGACAGAGCAAAUUGGCCGCGGCCAAGAAAAAGGUAAAACGCGCCGGGUCGCGGCCCCUCGAGCCAGACAGACCGAGUCCUUCCGACGGCCGGACAGUGGCCAGAGUCUGUGCCAUUCCUGAGGCACACGGGGCGAGCCCCUGGGCGCCCCUCAGCUCCCCCUACUAAAGUCUUCUCAGCCAGCCCCGCCCCCUCAACAGCCCAGCCCCCGCCCUCGCCAGUCGCCCCUGGGUGACUUUGGCCGGUGACUCCAGGGCUCUCCGCUCCAGGCGCGGCCCCGGCUUCCUGCCGCCCCAAAUUGGAUCUCCCUGGGCUCCCUGGUCGUUAAGGACCUCGGUCCCAGCCCUGCGCUCCCCUCCCCCACCGUGGAGUAGCGACUCGGGCGUCGGUAGGGAGGAGUGGAAUGUAGUUACGUCACAGCCCCCCUCUGAACUGUCAUUACCACCGCGAGCUCGGCCUGUGAUCUUCCGACCUGGUCCCCUAAGUGUCUUCAUUCCCUUUGGGCUUGUCUGGUCUGGGCACAGAUUUCUACCUGGAAGGGAACUCUCAGGUCUGUGGGACCUAGUGCUGAGAGGUUUUAGGCUUCCUUACUUCCAACUCACACAGUGAUAACUCAGAAAGCCUACACACUUCACCAAUGAGCUAAUAAAACGUUGACAGUAUCUCCCGAUGACCAUGGAAGAACAGGUUUGGGUUCUUCCUAAACCUGGGAUUUUUCUCCCAGGUGUCUACCUUCCAGAGUGGCUUAAAAAAAAUUUUUUUUCCUGACAUCUUUACAUUCGAAUUCGCUGAGAUUCUGGGACCAGGGUGCCCUUCAUUCAGUGUUUGCUGGAGUGAGGUCUGUUUGUCUAAUGUGGAACUGGUCCUGGGAACUGAGCUUCACAGUUUGCAUCUUCCCCAAUUCAUCUUCACAACUUGGGGUGCAGAGUGCUCUGGGAUAAUAAAUGUGAGGCAUCUCUCUGAAGCAUCAUUUUAUUUUCUUGAGAGCGAUUAGACAUUAAUAUAUAGAGAGAUGACAUUUGUAUAGAUUUUUAAGAUUGUAAUAGACCUCUCUGAAAUGAUAUUUGGGUGUGCUCUGUUGCCAGAUUCGCUGGGGCUGUGUCUUUACUGCCUUCUGUUAGGAUAUGUUGAUUUGUAAAACUUUGGGAAGUACUGGUGUGCAGCUUUAACAGAGGUAUAAGCAGGACUCCAAUGUUUGGCUUCUGAACUGCCCAGUGUACAGUUCCUGCUUACUUAAUAUUUACUUAUCCACCCCUACCUCUGGCUUGCCCCUGGGAGCUGCUGCUUUAUGGCGAACUCCAGAGCUGGGAAUCAGAAGAUUGAACUUGAACUCCAUUAUUGUCUUUAUAAAAAACUUCAUGUUUGUAGUCCAUAUUUUCAGUCCUUAAUCAUUGAAACACCUUGUGACAUUGUUGAUGACAUUACAUCAGAUGGUACACAUAAGAAUAUUUUAUAAAAAUUAUAGAGGAAGAUGUGAAUAUAGGGGCUCAUUCUCAUGAGUGUCACUGCUUCUCCUUUUCACAGCUGAGAGAGUAUCAGCAGAAGAACAGUCCUGGUGUUCCUGCAGGAGCAAAGAAGAAAAAAAAGAUAAAAAAUGGCAGUAGCCCUGAGACAACCACUGCUGGUGGUUGUCAUUCACCUGAGGAUGUGAGUUUUAGCUGGUCAGCCUCCCAGGGAUUGGGGGUUCAAAGGGCAAAAAGGGUAAUGGUUAAGAUUGAAGAAGUGUCAGGUAUUGGUUAAGAAUUUUGGGUUUGAGGGCUGGGGCUCUAGUUCAGUGGCAGAGCACUUGCCUAGCAUGUGUGAGGCACUGGGUUCAAUCCUCAGCACCACAUAAAAAUAAACAAAAUAAAGGUAUGCUGUCCAUCUACAACUACAAAAAAAUUAAAAAAAAGAACUCUGGAUUUGAGGGGCUGGGGUGGUAGCUCAGUGGCAGAGUGCUUGCCUACAUAUGUGAGGCACUGGGUUUGAUCCUUAACCCCACAUAAAAAUAAAGACAUGUUGUCCGUCUAAAACUCCAAAAACAUUAUAAAAAAAGAAUUUUGGUUUUUGAGAGCUGGGGGUGUCUCAGUUGUACGAGGCCCCUGGGUUCAAUCCUCAGCACUGAAAAAAAAAAAAUAAUAGUUUUUAUGUACACUUAUGAAGCUUAAAUGAGAUUUAUUGUUUUUAUGUUUAUUUCCUAAUAGAGAGUCAGGUUUGGAGUAAACAUUCAAUAAAUGGUAGUUGCUAUUUGGUUUCCUCAGCCUUGUGGGCCAGGGGGAAGCCAGGCAAUUGAGAACAGCUGCUUGCCAUCAGGCUCUUCUUUUAGGAUGCAUCACUGCAAGAGCCCCAGGGUGUGGCAAGGAGAGCCCCAGGCUCCAGGAUUGGAAGAAUGUCUGAAUUUUGAGUCUGUUUUUGCUAUUAGCUUGCUGGGUGACCUCAGAAAAUUAUUUUCUUCCAGGGUCUCAGUUUCCUUAUCUGUAAGAUGAUAUGGUUGGAUUAAAUCAUUGUUUUUCAAACUUAAUUUUUAGCUCUAGCUCCCUGUGUUCUAGUGAACCCUUACUUGGGAGUCUGGUUUUUGAAAUGGAGAUGGGCGUCUGGAGCUCUUCCAGAUUCCGCCCUGCAUCCUAAGCCUGAGGAGAGGGUCUCAUGUGCAUAUUAAGACUUGCACUGGUCAGGUAACUUGACUACAUCACUCGGAAUUUUACUAUUUGUUUACUUUGAUUGCUAGCUCUGGCAAGGCAGCAAGUGGCUUUUUGGAAGGAUGGCACAGGCCCUGGUAUUGGUCUCCUUUGCUCUUCUUCAGCAUUUCAUUUUCCUAAACCAACUUCUCCCUUCCCUUGACUUUCUUGCCUCUCUCUAAGCCACUUCUUUCUUUCCCCCCACCCUUGUUUUUCCCUUUUCACCUCCUGUAGAUUCAGGACAUUCUGAAGGUGCUGGUGUCCGACCUUAACCAUUCCAAUGGGGUAGCGCUCCCCCCAUUGGACAAGUGGAAGGUGAGGCAGUGCCGAGACCACCCUUUGGCUUCCUCUCUCCCAGCUGUGCAUGCCUCUGAGGCUUCUCUGGUUUGGGGAUCAUUUGCCUCUGGCUUAUUUUAUGUUGCUGCCAUUAACCCUCAGCCUGCUUACAUCUGCUUCUUCACUUGCUUUGUUGAUUGGGCUUUUUUCCUUCCCCACAUCUUUUAUCAUCUUGGAGAAGGUGAAACAUACCUUGAAGACUAAAACUAAUUUGGGAAUAACUUUGAGAGAAGGUGUGUGGAGCUUGAGCUUUUGAAUGCCCAGUGUGGUGCUUUCAGACUGGGAGAGAUUAAAAAACAAAACAACAGCAAAACUUUUUAGGUCUUGUCCUCUGUGUGUCCAUCCCUAAAAGAUCAUUAGACCUUAAAAGUUUGUGAUCUUCUUGAAUUGAUUACUUCAUUGGGUUUGAAGUUUGGGAAUGUAAGGUUAAGAAAAAGUGAGUUUGCAUUAUAGUUGCAAGGAUUGAGGCUAUUUUUUUCAGAUCAACUAACUGAAAAGGAUGUGAGGUUAACCAACAGAUGAAUGACCAGAAAACUCUGCCCCUAAUCUCUCUUAAAAAUCAGAGGACACCUGGCCAUAUUCAUUUGGCCCUUCAAAGCACAGGCACUUUGUUAAACAGAGGCGAAAACAGACACAAGAUAGGAUGGAUGCAGGCAUAGGGAGGAGAGGCUUCUGAGAGAAGCUAGGGAGAAUGUGGCACCAUCCCAAAUACUUAAGUGAGGGGAAAUUGGUUCUGAAUGGAUUCAAGGAUGGAGGAGGUGGCCACUUUGAGGUCACUUUGAAGAUUAAAGGUGAGUAACAUUCGUGCACAUGGAGAGUGGGGAGGCAGAGGGAACGGAAGGGUCAUGGUCAGCAUUAUGAGGUCAUUAUGAAGUCAUAGAAGACCUUUCAGGAAUGCAGGUAGCUCAGUCCAGGGGCAUGGUCUGGUUACACAGGGCUAGGCAUUGGCCUCCAUCGGAUAUUGUAUUGGAACUUUCUGUUUAGCUAACUUGUCCAAGGACAUCUGCCAAGCCAGAGCAAUAGAGCUAAGACAGAGCCAGAUCCUUUUGGAACUGGGCAUAGGGAGAGGGAUGACGGGUUGAAGAGUUUUCCAGUCAUCAUAGGUGUUCCCACCCAGGCGGUCAGGUCUACCCAGGUGCUAUGACUCACUUUGUCAACUUGGAGGAUAUAAAGUGGCAUGUGAGGUGGGAGCCUCAAUAAGUCCUGCAGCUGUGUGUCUGGUGUUUGCCCUAGUGAGGGGCCAGCCACAUAGGGAGUUGUUUUCUCUUCAGAACAAUCCUAGUCUGUGCUAGUGUUCUGAGAUUGUGCACCCAUCCUGUUACCCCUCUGUUGUGGAGGUGAAGACCUACUGUGUUUCAAAGCCUCGCUGCAUCAAUAAGUGGUUCCCACAGAGGUUUUCUCCUCUAGGAAUGCAGAGAUGGGAUUGCAGUCCCCUGAGUAGAGAUAGUGGUGUCUCCAGAAAUGGGGAAUAAUGGAGACAAUGAUUUCUAGUAGAACUAGGUUAUGGUGAAGGGAGUGGACUAUGAUACCAAGUCCAUCACCCAUAGUCUCUGCCCAGCAGGAUCCCAGAGUUAGGGUCACAGUAAUUCUCUAGAAGAACAAUGCAUUUCUUCUCCCUGACUUGGGCACACUUUCCUUCCACCUGCUGUGGCUGCCAUUGGCCCAAGCCUGUACCACCUUUUGCUGAGCCCCAGGGAGAACAAGGUCCUCAGGUAUUUAGGAAGGGGGUCAUGCAGCCCCUGCUUUGAUCUUUGGCUGGCUGAAAUGCUGCCAAGCAGUCUGAAGCCUGGGCUAAUGGUAUCUAUACCCCCAGAUGCUCCCAGCACAUAUGACUGUCCCUCUGACUGCAGCAACAAUGUCCUGCCUGCUCUGCACCCUUGUGUCCAUAGCAAUGAAGCAGGUUCUCUCCUAUAUGGCCCCUGACCCCCUCCCCCUGUUCUGUGACAGGCACCCAAAGACCACACUGCUCCUGCACCACCAGCUGCUGAUGACAGCGUGUCACUUGGCCCUGUCCCUUCCCCAGGUCCUACUCUCCCUAGCCUGGAGUUACCUCAGGUUUGUUCCUUUCCCUUUUUCCCACUAUCUUCCUGUGUGCUUACUCAUCCUCUUCCCAAAGGAUAAUGCUCAUACGGACUCUCUUCUCUUCAAGUAGCUUGGUCUCUAGAGCCAGGUGCUCUUCCUGGGGACUGGGAUGGGGAGGCCAAGACACAGCUUUUCUUUGAGGUUUGGGGAGAUGGAAAGUUAUUGGAAUGAGGUUGGCUCACCCUGUCCCUGGGUGAUUUUUACUAGAAGUUGAAUGACCACAUCAUGUGUUUCUUCCCAAACAGAACCAU